rnacentral:rRNA from 1 species
AGCGAACGCUGGCGGAAUGCUUAACACAUGCAAGUCGCACGGGGGCUUCGGCCUUAGGUGGCGGACGGGUGAGUAACGCGUAGGAAUGUGUCCGAGGUGGGGGAUAACGUUGGGAAACUGACGCUAAUACCGCAUAUCCCCUGAGGGGGAAAGCAGAGAUGCGCCCACGGAGCAGCCUGCGUCCGAUUAGCUAGUUGGUUAGGUAAAGGCUGACCAAGGCGACGAUCGGUAGCUGGUCUGAGAGGAUGAUCAGCCACACUGGAACUGAGACACGGUCCAGACUCCUACGGGAGGCAGCAGUGGGGAAUAUUGGACAAUGGGCGAAAGCCUGAUCCAGCCAUGCCGCGUGUGUGAAGAAGGUCUUCGGAUUGUAAAGCACUUUAAGUUGGGAGGAAGGGUAGUAACUUAAUACGUUGCUACUUUGACGUUACCGACAGAAUAAGCACCGGCUAACUUCGUG